rnacentral:rRNA from 1 species
AUCGAACGCUGGCGGCAGGCCUAACACAUGCAAGUCGAACGAACCUUUCGGGGUUAGUGGCGGACGGGUGAGUAACACGUGGGAACGUGCCUUUAGGUUCGGAAUAACGUAGGGAAACUCGUGCGAAUACCGGAUGUGCUCUUCGGGGGAAAGUUUGAUCGCCUUUAGAGCGGCUCGCGUCUGAUUAGCUAGAUGGGUGCGGUAAUGGCGUACCAAAGCGACGAUAAGUAGCUGGUCUGAGAGGAUGAUCAGCCACAUUGGGACUGAGACACGGCCCAGACUCCUACGGGAGGCAGCAGUGGGGAAUCUUGCGCAAUGGGCGAAAGCAUGACGCAGCCAUGCCGCGUGAAUGAUGAAGGUCUUAGGAUUGUAAAAUUCUUUAACCGGGGACGAUAAUGACGGUACCCGGAGAAGAAGCCCCGGCUAACUUCGUG